rnacentral:rRNA from 1 species
UUUAUGGAGAGUUUGAUCCUGGCUCAGGAUGAACGCUGGCGGCGUGCCUAAUACAUGCAAGUCGAGCGAACAGAUGAGGAGCUUGCUCCUCUGACGUUAGCGGCGGACGGGUGAGUAACACGUGGAUAACCUACCUAUAAGACUGGGAUAACUUCGGGAAACCGGAGCUAAUACCGGAUAAUAUAUUGAACCGCAUGGUUCA